AUCCCGCUGGCGAAUCCCAAUUAGAACGAAACGCGCGUCCUAGAU
rnacentral:hammerhead_ribozyme from 1 species